rnacentral:lncRNA from 1 species
GAUAACUCCGUUCUCAUUUGUUGUCAGUGUGAUCAUAAGUUUGAGCUGUUUGGUCUUUCACAUAUGUUCUAACAAUAUUUUGUAACUUCUCCAGUAUAAUCCCGUGACAAUUUUGUGCUCAGGUAUAUAGAAUUGUGUUAUGUGUAUGUACUUCUUAACUGAUUAAGAUUUCCUUUUGUAUUAUCUCUCACUUUUUUUAUUUAACAUUUCAGUGACAAUUCCUUGAAAUUGGCUGCUGAAGGGACAGAAACAGGAAGAUCUAUUCCAUAUCCUUCAUCUACGAGCCAAAUAGUUUUCAUUCAAGAUUAAAGAUAAACAGGG